GGGAAGGUGGCUCAGUGGUAGAGUGCUUGUCUUGCAUGCAUGAGGCCCUGGGUUCAAUUCCUCAGUGCCA
rnacentral:tRNA from 1 species